UCUACAGGCUUAACACAUGCAAGUCGAGGGGCAGCAUGGUCUUAGCUUGCUAAGGCCGAUGGCGACCGGCGCACGGGUGAGUAACACGUAUCCAACCUGCCGUCUACUCUUGGACAGCCUUCUGAAAGGAAGAUUAAUACAAGAUGGCAUCAUGAGUCCGCAUGUUCACAUGAUUAAAGGUAUUCCGGUAGACGAUGGGGAUGCGUUCCAUUAGAUAGUAGGCGGGGUAACGGCCCACCUAGUCUUCGAUGGAUAGGGGUUCUGAGAGGAAGGUCCCCCACAUUGGAACUGAGACACGGUCCAAACUCCUACGGGAGGCAGCAGUGAGGAAUAUUGGUCAAUGGGCGAGAGCCUGAACCAGCCAAGUAGCGUGAAGGAUGACUGCCCUAUGGGUUGUAAACUUCUUUUAUAAAGGAAUAAAGUCGGGUAUGCAUACCCGUUUGCAUGUACUUUAUGAAUAAGGAUCGGCUAACUCCGUGCCAGCAGCCGCGGUAAUACGGAGGAUCCGAGCGUUAUCCGGAUUUAUUGGGUUUAAAGGGAGCGUAGAUGGAUGUUUAAGUCAGUUGUGAAAGUUUGCGGCUCAACCGUAAAAUUGCAGUUGAUACUGGAUAUCUUGAGUGCAGUUGAGGCAGGCGGAAUUCGUGGUGUAGCGGUGAAAUGCUUAGAUAUCACGAAGAACUCCGAUUGCGAAGGCGGCCUGCUAAGCUGCAACUGACAUUGAGGCUCGAAAGUGUGGGUAUCAAACAGGAUUAGAUACCCUGGUAGUCCACACGGUAAACGAUGAAUACUCGCUGUUUGCGAUAUACAGCAAGCGGCCAAGCGAAAGCGUUAAGUAUUCCACCUGGGGAGUACGCCGGCAACGGUGAAACUCAAAGGAAUUGACGGGGGCCCGCACAAGCGGAGGAACAUGUGGUUUAAUUCGAUGAUACGCGAGGAACCUUACCCGGGCUUAAAUUGCAGAUGAAUUACGGUGAAAGCCGUAAGCCGCAAGGCAUCUGUGAAGGUGCUGCAUGGUUGUCGUCAGCUCGUGCCGUGAGGUGUCGGCUUAAGUGCCAUAACGAGCGCAACCCUUGUUGUCAGUUACUAACAGGUUCCGCUGAGGACUCUGACAAGACUGCCAUCGUAAGAUGUGAGGAAGGUGGGGAUGACGUCAAAUCAGCACGGCCCUUACGUCCGGGGCUACACACGUGUUACAAUGGGGGGUACAGAGGGCCGCUACCACGCGAGUGGAUGCCAAUCCCAAAAACCUCUCUCAGUUCGGACUGGAGUCUGCAACCCGACUCCACGAAGCUGGAUUCGCUAGUAAUCGCGCAUCAGCCACGGCGCGGUGAAUACGUUCCCGGGCCUUGUACACACCGCCCGUCAAGCCAUGGGAGCCGGGGGUACCUGAAGUGCGUAACCGCGAGGAGCGCCCUAGGGUAAAACUGGUGACUGGGGCUAA
rnacentral:rRNA from 1 species